GUAGGGUGCGAGCGUUGUCCGGAAUUAUUGGGCGUAAAGGGUUCGUAGGCGGUCUGUCGCGUCGGUAGUGAAAACUCAGGGCUUAACCCUGAGCCUGCUUCCGAUACGGGCAGACUAGAGGUAUGCAGGGGAGAAUGGAAUUCCUGGUGUAGCGGUGAAAUGCGCAGAUAUCAGGAGGAACACCGGUGGCGAAGGCGGUUCUCUGGGCAUUACCUGACGCUGAGGAGCGAAAGUGUGGGGAGCGAACAGGAUUAGAUACCCUGGUAGUCCACACCGUAAACGUUGGGCGCUAGGUGUGGGACUCAUUCCACGAGUUCCGUGCCGCAGCUAACGCAUUAAGCGCCCCGCCUGGGGAGUACGGCCGCAAGGSUA
rnacentral:rRNA from 1 species